AUGGAAGCAGGGCACCUCCUUUACGGACCGCCCGACACUGGCAAGUCCACGAUGAUCGACGCCAUGGCGAACUUCCUCGACUACGGCGUCUACGACCUCGAGCUCACAGCGGUCAAGAACAACACCGAGCUGCGGAAGCUCUUCAUCGAAACAACGGGCAAGUCCAUCAUCGUCAUAGAGGACAUUGACUGCUCCGUCGACUUCACAGGAAAACGCCACAAGGACAAGGCCUCAAGCGACAAGGACUCCGACAACGAUGACAAGCCCAAGCUACUGAUAGAGCCGGAGAAGGACGAUGCCACCAAGUUGACGCUCUCGGGCCUACUUAACUUCAUCGACGGGCUGUGGUCUGCUUGCGGAGGUGAGCGGAUCAUCAUCUUCACCACCAACCACAAGGAGAUGCUGGACCCGGCAUUGAUCCGACGGGGCAGGAUGGACAAGCACAUCGAGAUGUCCUACUGCAGCUUUGAGGGCUUCAAGGUGCUAGCCAAGAACUACCUAGAUGUCAUUGAGCACGAGCUGUUUGGGGAAGUUCAGCACCUGCUCGAGGAGACCGACAUGUCACCCACUGACGUUGCAGAGAACCUGAUGCCCAUGUCGAAGAAGAAAAAGAGGGACCCCGACGUGUGCUUGAUAGGCCUCAUCGAGGCGCUCAAGCAGGCCAAGGAGGAAGCGGCGGCGGCCAAGGUGAAGGAGGCAGAGGAGGCUCAAGUGAAGAAAGCCAAGGAGAAAGAGGAGACAGAGGUGAAGAAAGCCAAGGAGGAAGACAAAGAGAAGGACAAAGCACCUGAGGCAGCCAAUGGGGAUAUUAAGCAAGGCGACAAGUGA
rnacentral:rRNA from 1 species